AUUGAACGCUGGCGGCAGGCCUAACACAUGCAAGUCGAACGAGUGGCGGACGGGUGAGUAGUGUCUGGGAAACUGCCUGAUGGCGGGGGAUAACUACGGAAAACGGUAGCUAAUACCGCAUACCAUCGGAUGUGCCCAUAUGGGAUUAGCUCGUAGGUGGGGUAACGGCUCACCUAGGCGACGCUCCCUAGCUGGUCUGAGAGGAUGACCAGCCACACUGGAACUGAGACACGGUCCAGACUCCUACGGGAGGCAGCAGGGGGGAAUAUUGCACAAUGGGUGCAAGCCUGAUGCAGCCAUGCCGCGUGUAUGAAGAAGGCCUUCGGGUUGUAAAGGACUUUCAGCGGGGAGGCGUUACCCGCAGAAGAAGCACCGGCUAACUCCGUGCCAGCAGCCGCGGUAAUAC
rnacentral:rRNA from 1 species